rnacentral:snoRNA from 1 species
CUUAGUCCAGAAAACAAUGAUGUGGUAAUUUCCAAGCACAUAUCUGAUGAUUCCAUGUGGAAUUUAACUACCUGAGUUUCCUGGACAAAGA